AGAGUUUGAUCCUGGCUCAGAACGUACGCUGGCGGCACGCCUAACACAUGCAAGUCGAACGAAGUAGCAAUACUUAGUGGCAGACGGGUGAGUAACAUGUAGGUAUCUGCCCUUUGGCCUGGAAUAACACGAGGAAACUUGUGCUAAUACCGGAUAAGUCUUUACGGAGAAAGCUUUAUGCACCAUUGGAUGAGCCUGCACUUGAUUAGUUUGUUGGUAGGGUAAUGGCCUACCAAGACUUUGAUCAAUAGCUGAUUUGAGAGGAUGAUCAGCCACAUUGGGACUGAGACACGGCCCAAACUCCUACGGGAGGCAGCAGUGGGGAAUCUUGCACAAUGGAGGAAACUCUGAUGCAGCGAUGCCGCGUGAGUGAAGAAGGCCUUUGGGUUGUAAAGCUCUUUCGUCGGGGAAGAAAAUGACUGUACCCGAAUAAGAAGGUCCGGCUAACUUCGUGCCAGCAGCCGCGGUAAUACGAAGGGACCUAGCGUAGUUCGGAAUUACUGGGCUUAAAGAGUUCGUAGGUGGUUGAAAAAGUUGGUGGUGAAAUCCCAGAGCUUAACUCUGGAACUGCCAUCAAAACUUUUCAGCUAGAGUUUGAUAGAGGAAAGCAGAAUUUCUAGUGUAGAGGUGAAAUUCGUAGAUAUUAGAAAGAAUACCAAUUGCGAAGGCAGCUUUCUGGAUCAUUACUGACACUGAGGAACGAAAGCAUGGGUAGCGAAGAGGAUUAGAUACCCUCGUAGUCCAUGCCGUAAACGAUGUGUGUUAGACGUUGGAAAUUUAUUUUCAGUGUCGCAGCGAAAGCGAUAAACACACCGCCUGGGGAG
rnacentral:rRNA from 1 species